CCAGCAGCUGCGGUAAUUCCAGCUCCAAUAGCGUAUAUUAAAGUUGUUGCAGUUAAAAAGCUCGUAGUUGAAUUUUGGGCCUAGUUGGGUGGUCUGACCUAACGGUCAGUACUGCUUUGAUUGGGCCUUUCCUUCUGGCUAACUAGUGUGCUCUUCAUUGGGUGCGCUAGGGAUCCAGGACUUUUACUGUGAAAAAAUUAGAGUGUUUAAAGCAGGCUUACGCUUGAAUACAUUAGCAUGGAAUAAUAGAAUAGGACUUUGGUUCUAUUUUGUUGGUUUCUAGGACCGAAGUAAUGAUUAAUAGGGAUAGUUGGGGGCAUUAGUAUUUAAUUGUCAGAGGUGAAAUUCUUGGAUUUAUGAAAGACUAACUUCUGCGAAAGCAUUUGCCAAGGAUGUUUUCAUUAAUCAAGAACGAAAGU
rnacentral:rRNA from 1 species